rnacentral:misc_RNA from 1 species
GAUGACAGACUUUCUUUUCAUCCUGGGGUGAGUGAAACAAUCUCUUUAAAAUAGUAAUUUCUUAUGCCAUUAUCUGCAAAUUUUGAUUGUUUAAUCCAGGUCUCCGUUUGCUUUUGAUUUCCGUCCAUCUAAAAGAAAAUAGAAUUCCCCUGUUUUGUUGCUCUGCUUUAACACAAACCCUGCAUUAUUAUCUUUGUUUUUUCAUGAUUCUGCUCCGAACUGGUCAAAUAUUUUUGUUUUUUUCUGGGUU